CAAAAAUUUAACAUUGUACCGCAAAUAGUGAUAUCAUAACAUAUGGUCAAGAAUUACAAAUGACUGUUAUCUCCAGCAAAACAAAAACAAAAACACUUGCUUCAUAGACUGGAUGACAUGACAGAAUAAUAUGGUUCACUGGGAAUCUAAACAUUGUGUUUGUCAAGAACACUCUAAAAUAGUUUAUAAACAAAGAGAUAUGACAAAGGAUUAAGUUUCCGGGGGCGUACGGGCAGAUUAAAUCUGUGAUGCCUUCUCUUUCCUCAAAAUCGCUCGAGUAAUCUGCCAAGGAAUGAGGAUACAUUUGAAUGAUAUAAACUGCAGAGUGUCUUAAGUUGAAUAUCCUUCAAGCUAGAGGCUUGCCAUAGAGUUGUGCAUAAACCCUCUUCGUUCGAUGCACAACAAUCAUACUCAAGAUAAAUGCAAUGAUGCAGAGUCCUGACAUGAUGCCCAUUGUGAGUGAAUAGCAUAUGGAACCAUAACAAGUAAGAAAGUCAUCCUUCAGAAGAGGCACUCCUGGACCCAGUAUGGAACCUUGAAUCCGAUGUUCAUGUUGCUGCUUUGCCUGAUAGUCAUAUAUACCACUAGCAAUAACACCAGAAAAUAUCAGCGAACCAGCUGGACUAGCCAAUGUAAGGAAGUUAUACAAUGCACCAAAGCUUUUCAAUCCAAAAAGUUCUGAGACUGCAGCUGGUACAAUAGCCCAGUGUGCUCCAUAGCCGAGUCCUAUCAACACAGAAACCACAUAUAUUGAACCAGGCCACCCCAUAGCAUAGAAGAAAAGAGCAAAUGCCAUAACAACUUGAACUGCAGCCAUUGCCACAGGUCUUGGGUAUGCAUAGUAUUUUACUAUAUUCUCAGAGAAGUAUCCACCAGCAACACGACCAAGAAAGUUCCAAAUGCUUAUCAUUGAAACAAAUAUGUGGGUGUUAGAAUAACCUAACGACUGAGAUAUCUGACCCAGAUUAUCAAUCACUGUCAAACCAGAACCAGAUGCUAGAACUAGGGAGAGAAAAAUAAGCCAAAAGUCUGCCUUUACUAGAGCCUGAAGUAAAGUGAAAUCCUCUCCUGUGGGUGUUAGAAUAACCUAACGACUGAGAUAUCUGACCCAGAUUAUCAAUCACUGUCAAACCAGAACCAGAUGCUAGAACUAGGGAGAGAAAAAUAAGCCAAAAGUCUGCCUUUACUAGAGCCUGAAGUAAAGUGAAAUCCUCUCC
rnacentral:misc_RNA from 1 species